rnacentral:rRNA from 1 species
CCCUUAGAUGUUCUGGGCCGCACGCGCGCUACAAUGAUGCAGGCAACGAGUGCCGCUCCUUAGCCGAAAGGCUUGGGGAAUCUUGAAAACUGCAUCGUGCUAGGGAUAGAUGAUCGCAAUCGUGCAUCUUGAACGAGGAAUGCCUUGUAAGCGUGAGUCAUCAACUCGCGCUGAAUACGUCCCUGCCCUUUGUACACACCGCCCGUCGCUCCUACCGAUUGGAUGGUCCGGUGAACUGGUCGGACUGCUGUUUGAAAUUGCGGGUGCAGUUGAUUCACGGGAAGUCUAGUAAACCUUAUCAUCUAGAGGAAGGAGAAGUCGUAACA